rnacentral:rRNA from 1 species
GACGAACGCUGGCGGCAUGCCUAACACAUGCAAGUCGAACGAGACCUUCGGGUCUAGUGGCGCACGGGUGCGUAACGCGUGGGAACCUGCCCUUAGGUUCGGAAUAACUCCCCGAAAGGGGUGCUAAUACCGGAUAAUGUCUUCGGACCAAAGAUUUAUCGCCUUUGGAUGGGCCCGCGUUGGAUUAGCUAGUUGGUAGGGUAAAAGCCUACCAAGGCGACGAUCCAUAGCUGGUCUGAGAGGAUGAUCAGCCACACUGGGACUGAGACACGGCCCAGACUCCUACGGGAGGCAGCAGUGGGGAAUAUUGGACAAUGGGCGAAAGCCUGAUCCAGCAAUGCCGCGUGAGUGAUGAAGGCCUUAGGGUUGUAAAGCUCUUUUACCCGGGACGAUAAUGACAGUACCGGGAGAAUAAGCUCCGGCUAACUCCGUG